rnacentral:rRNA from 1 species
UCUAGCUACAGGCUUAACACAUGCAAGUCGAGGGGCAUCAGGAAGAAAGCUUGCUUUCUUUGCUGGCGACCGGCGCACGGGUGAGUAACACGUAUCCAACCUGCCCUUUACUCGGGGAUAGCCUUUCGAAAGAAAGAUUAAUACCCGAUAGCAUAAUGAUUCCGCAUGGUUUCAUUAUUAAAGGAUUCCGGUAAAGGAUGGGGAUGCGUUCCAUUAGGUUGUUGGUGAGGUAACGGCCCACCAAGCCUUCGAUGGAUAGGGGUUCUGAGAGGAAGGUCCCCCACAUUGGAACUGAGACACGGUCCAAACUCCUACGGGAGGCAGCAGUGAGGAAUAUUGGUCAAUGGGCGCUAGCCUGAACCAGCCAAGUAGCGUGAAGGAUGAAGGCUCUAUGGGUCGUAAACUUCUUUUAUAUAAGAAUAAAGUGCAGUAUGUAUACUGUUUUGUAUGUAUUAUAUGAAUAAGGAUCGGCUAACUCCGUGCCAGCAGCCGCGGUAAUACGGAGGAUCCGAGCGUUAUCCGGAUUUAUUGGGUUUAAAGGGAGCGUAGGUGGACUGGUAAGUCAGUUGUGAAAGUUUGCGGCUCAACCGUAAAAUUGCAGUUGAUACUGUCAGUCUUGAGUACAGUAGAGGUGGGCGGAAUUCGUGGUGUAGCGGUGAAAUGCUUAGAUAUCACGAAGAACUCCGGUUGCGAAGGCAGCUCACUGGACUGCAACUGACACUGAUGCUCGAAAGUGUGGGUAUCAAACAGGAUUAGAUACCCUGGUAGUCCACACAGUAAACGAUGAAUACUCGCUGUUUGCGAUAUACAGUAAGCGGCCAAGCGAAAGCAUUAAGUAUUCCACCUGGGGAGUACGCCGGCAACGGUGAAACUCAAAGGAAUUGACGGGGGCCCGCACAAGCGGAGGAACAUGUGGUUUAAUUCGAUGAUACGCGAGGAACCUUACCCGGGCUUAAAUUGCAGUGGAAUGAUGUGGAAACAUGUCAGUGAGCAAUCACCGCUGUGAAGGUGCUGCAUGGUUGUCGUCAGCUCGUGCCGUGAGGUGUCGGCUUAAGUGCCAUAACGAGCGCAACCCUUAUCUUUAGUUACUAACAGGUUAUGCUGAGGACUCUAGAGAGACUGCCGUCGUAAGAUGUGAGGAAGGUGGGGAUGACGUCAAAUCAGCACGGCCCUUACGUCCGGGGCUACACACGUGUUACAAUGGGGGGUACAGAAGGCAGCUAGCGGGUGACCGUAUGCUAAUCCCAAAAUCCUCUCUCAGUUCGGAUCGAAGUCUGCAACCCGACUUCGUGAAGCUGGAUUCGCUAGUAAUCGCGCAUCAGCCACGGCGCGGUGAAUACGUUCCCGGGCCUUGUACACACCGCCCGUCAAGCCAUGGGAGCCGGGGGUACCUGAAGUACGUAACCGCAAGGAUCGUCCUAGGGUAAAACUGGUGACUG